rnacentral:rRNA from 1 species
CCCUUAGAUGUUCUGGGCCGCACGCGCGCUACACUGAUGCAUUCAACGAGUUUUUCCUGGUCCGAGAGGAAUGGGUAACCUUUUGAAAGUGCAUCGUGCUAGGGAUAGACUAUUGCAAUUAUUGGUCUUCAACGAGGAAUUCCUAGUAGACGUAGUUCAUCAGACUGCAUCGAUUACGUCCCUGCCCUUUGUACACACCGCCCGUCGCUCCUACCGAUUGGAUGAUCCGGUGAGCUAUUCGGACCUUCGCUUCGUCGAUUUUCGGCUUUGUGAGGGAAAAUCUCGCGAACCUUAUCAUCUAGAGGAAGGAGAAGUCGUAACA